GCCUGGUAAAGAUAGUGCUGUUGAACCACCUGUUCCCAUUCCGAACACAGAAGUGAAAAGCGGUCACGCCGAUGGUAGUGUAGCAUUCGCUAUGUGAGAGUAGGUCAUUGCCAGGCAU
rnacentral:rRNA from 1 species